GAUUAACGCUGGCGGCGUGCAUAACACAUGCAAGUCGAACGAUGAAACUUAGUCAACUUCUUCGGCAAAACACUACUCGGAUUAGUGGCGAACGGGUGAGUAACGCGUGAGUAACCUGCCUUACACAAGGGGAUAGCCUUUGGAAACGAGGAAUAAUACCCUAUAAAACCAUAAAAGCACAUGCUAGAAUGGUCAAAGUGAUAUCGGCCUAAGAUGGACUUGCGUCUGAUUAGCUAGUUGGUGAGAUAAAAGCUCACCAAGGCAACGAUCAGUAGCCGGCUUAGAAGAGUGUCCGGCAAAAUUGAGACGGGGCACCGGCCCAGACUCCUCCGGGGGGAAGAGGUGGGAAAAUUGGAAAAUUGGGGGAACCCCUGAGGAGGCGCCGCGCGGUGAUUUAGAAGGCCUUCGGGUUGUAAAGAUCUUUUGUAUAGGAAGAAAAUGACAGUACUAUACGAAUAAGGUCCGGCUAAUUACGUG
rnacentral:rRNA from 1 species